AUGCCUCCCUGGAGCAGCACAUAUACUAAAAUUGGAACGAUACAGAGAAGAUUAGCAUGGCCCCUGCGCAAGGUUGACACGCAAAUUUGGAGAAGACCAGACCUAAGUC
rfam:Chelonia mydas contig258811, whole genome shotgun sequence.